rnacentral:rRNA from 1 species
CCCAGACUCCUACGGGAGGCAGCAGUAGGGAAUCUUCCGCAAUGGACGAAAGUCUGACGGAGCAACGCCGCGUGUAUGAAGAAGGUUUUCGGAUCGUAAAGUACUGUUGUUAGAGAAGAACAAGGAUAAGAGUAACUGCUUGUCCCUUGACGGUAUCUAACCAGAAAGCCACGGCUAACUACGUGCCAGCAGCCGCGGUAAUACGUAGGUGGCAAGCGUUGUCCGGAUUUAUUGGGCGUAAAGCGCGCGCAGGCGGUCUUUUAAGUCUGAUGUGAAAGCCCCCGGCUUAACCGGGGAGGGUCAUUGGAAACUGGAAGACUGGAGUGCAGAAGAGGAGAGUGGAAUUCCACGUGUAGCGGUGAAAUGCGUAGAUAUGUGGAGGAACACCAGUGGCGAAGGCGACUCUCUGGUCUGUAACUGACGCUGAGGCGCGAAAGCGUGGGGAGCAAACAGGAUUAGAUACCCUGGUAGUCCACGCCGUAAACGAUGAGUGCUAAGUGUUAGGGGGUUUCCGCCCCUUAGUGCUGCAGCUAACGCAUUAAGCACUCCGCCUGGGGAGUACGACCGCAAGGUUGAA